GGCGAAACAACGAUACUUCUAUUACGAUCUCAAGUAACCGAAUGUUGGCAAAAAUCGGCGGCUGAAGCAAUAGCAGCACACUUCGUCAUUAAGCUAUCCCUACAAGAAAAUCCAGUGACGUCAGGUCUAAGGAAAGAUCAGGAUACUCUAAUACGCUGUUGCGAAGAUUCUGAUGAAGAUGUGCCCCCAUCAAGUGGUAGUAGUUGGUAGGAGCCUUCUUCUGCACCUGGGGUGUAGUUGUGUCGUUUUGGCGAAAAGAAACGUCUCGCAUUAUAUCCACCUACGAUGGUGAUACUCGUCGUAAAGCUUCGACUAAUCGUAUCUGCUACUAGCAUUGCGACUGCAGAGACAGUCUGUGCUGGUUGAAUGCUUGCACUAGUUCUGGCAGAAGAAAAUCUUAUGACCCGGGAAAAGCCAAGGAUAGUUCUGCAUACGAUCGGAUCGCCGCAAAAAACGCGCCGUAAAAGUAGACCGAAUCCAGAUCACGGGUGGUGUUUGCCACUCUGGCCUCAUCCGACUGAAUGACACGAUUGAGCAAUCAGCUCCUCACUUUAUUAGCCCAGCCUUGCCGCCGUUGUCGGUACUUUUCCCGUUAUGA